CCAGACUCCUACGGGAGGCAGCAGUGGGGAAUAUUGCACAAUGGGGGAAACCCUGAUGCAGCGACGCCGCGUGAGUGAAGAAGUAAUUCGUUACGUAAAGCUCUAUCAGCAGGGAAGAGAAUGACGGUACCCCAGGAAUAAGCCACGGCUAACUACGUGCCAGCAGCCGCGGUAAUACGUAUGGUGCAAGCGUUAUCCGGAUUUACUGGGUGUAAAGGGCGUGCAGCCGGAGAGACAAGUCAGAUGUGAAAUCCACGGGCUCAACCCGUGAACUGCAUUUGAAACUGUUUCCCUUGAGUGUCGGAGAGGUAAUCGGAAUUCCUUGUGUAGCGGUGAAAUGCGUAGAUAUAAGGAAGAACACCAGUGGCGAAGGCGGAUUACUGGACGAUAACUGACGGUGAGGCGCGAAAGCGUGGGGAGCAAACAGGAUUAGAUACCCCAGUAC
rnacentral:rRNA from 1 species